CUUUCGCCCUUUCCAUCCAUGGUCGAUGCGGCCGACUCGGUGGUGGCGCGCCAUUAGCCCACGGGAGAAGUUCUCACUGUGCGGCGCACUACAGCCACGCGCGCCGUCGCCGCGGAGACGCAAUCCUCCUCACUUUCCCCUCACCGUCCUCUCAUCUACGCCUCGUUCUGCUCGUCGCUCCGCUGCAGAUCCGUUGUCCUCCGCAUCCUCCGCGCGCCUUGUGCCAUCGCCGGUGGCCGGCCUUACCCCAUGCCGUCGAUCUGCCACGGAUUCGGUUAAGGUAGUGGCUUGGCCACCUUUGCCUGUGCGGAUCCGUCGCCGGUGCUUCGCCGGUUCGUCCGCUCGCUGGGAUUGCCGCGCGUGGUGGCCACGGCUGCUUCGGCUCGUCUGGUGGUCAGUUGGUUCCGUCGUGAGCACGCCCUGUCCUGCUCUUUCCUGCUAAUAUGUUCCUCUGUGCUUGAAGCUACCUUUGGAAUUACACCCGUACUUUCCUAUGGUCCUGCUAUUAUUGCGUUCUAAAUCUGUCAGCCCUAGAUUCUGUCGCCAGUAAAACUUGCUUAGUUAGUAGAUUAGUUGUUGUUGGUCCAUCAGAUCCCCUCGGGGUGCCAUCGGUUCUUGCUUCCUUUAUGGUUACUGUGUCUUGUCUUCCCUCACUGUGUCACACAAUGCAUCACUCCAUUGUUCAUUACAAAAGGUUUGUACCGGCCACGUUUUUAGCCGUCCCAAGGUUUGCAGUUCCAUUUUCUGUGGUACUACUGCAAACGUUGUCUUUUACAGUGAAACAGGGAAACACUGUAUUUUUUUUGGUAAGAGGUGAAGAAACAACAAAGGGAUAAAGACCUAUAGAGUGUUGUGGUCUAAAUAUCAGGAGAGAGAACAUAAUUAUUUACAAACUCUGAUGAGUUGUUGGUUAUUUGGUUUAGGUUACAUAAUAGAUAACAGGUCGAAAUGGGAACAUCUUAAGAAGGAAAAUAGGAUGGAAAUAGAGUUGCAACUGUUGUAUUUUACACUUUUACAGUAAAGCAAAACACUUUUUUUGUGAGAGCUGAAAAAACAGCAAUAGGGUAAAUACCAGGAGAGUGCUAUAAUCUGAAUAUUAGUGGAAAGAACAUAAUUAUUCGCAAGCUUAUUAGGGGAGAGAACAUAAUUAUUCACAAACUCUGAUUAUUGUUUGUGUCUGGUUGUUGAUUAUUUGGUUUAGGUUACAUAAUAGAGAACAAGUCGAAAUGGGAACAGCUUAAGAAGGAAAAUAGGAUGGAAAUAGAGCUGCAACUGUUGUUUUUUACAGUGAACCAAAACACUUCUGUUUUGAGAGUUGAAAAAACAGCAAUAGCGUAAAUACCUGGAGAGUGUUAUAAUCUAAAUAUCAGUGGAAAGAACAUAAUUAUUCGCAAGCUCUGAUUAGUGUUUGUCUUAUGGGUUGUUGCUUAUUUGAUUUAAAUAUCAGUGGAAACAACAUAAUUAUUCAACCUCUGAUUUGUGCUUGUCUUCUGGGUUGUUGCUUAUUUGGUUUAGGUUACAUAAUAGAGAACAAAUCAAAAUGGGAACAGCUUUAUGGACCAAAAAUGAAAGUAGGAAUCAUACACAAACGCACACCCUGCCAGGAGCCAUGCUUGGUAGCCAAACAUGUGAUCUGUAGGAAUACCGUCCUUGCAGUUUCUGUAGUCCGGUCGCGUGGUGUUUCGUCCCCUGUUAGUGCCGCUGGUUGUGUACAUCCUCUUAAUGAAGCGGUCUGUUCUCAGCUGAUAUGUAAUCAGCUCAUCUCUUAUGUCUGUAACAUGUAGCGUUUUCCCCCCUAGGUUCAUUAUUCCAGGGAUUAAACAUUUGUUAAUUAUGUGUAAGAGAAUUCUUUAUUACCUCUAUGUCGUCUCUAUGUUAAUGCGCAUGUGCUCCUUCUCUUUUUUUGGGUUGUUCCAAGUCACCCUCUUCAAAAAAAUUCUUCUGCUAUGCUACUGACCACCCAAGACCUACACGAUCCCGGAUCGCCAGGUUCAUCGACAUCAACCAGUAACCAGCUCCGAACCCUUACUCAGGUACUUCCUUAGAGUAUGUUGGUUGAUUCUUACGGCGUUCUUACCGUGCCUAUCUAUUACCUGAUUCUCCUGUUAGUCCUCACGAUCUACAUCAGCUAUAUUAAGAACCAAAUACAGUUAUACUAGCUACACAUAUGUUUUUUGUUCUUACAGGUGUAGAACAGCCUACACAAAUAAUUUAGAUAAUUAUUAUAAAGGUGCAGUUACCUCUCGGUGUCUGUCCAAAGUACGUUCAUACAUGAUAGACUUACAUAGCUUGCACAUAGCACAUGUAUAUGCUCUGUUUCUUUUACCUGGAACCUACGAUACUAUUUCUUUAGGUCAUAACAUCUUCAGACUUACUUGGAGUAUUUACACGAAUGUUUGCUCAUGUGGGAAAACCCAAGGAUAAUCAGAAUUCCUUUUAGAAUAUUACUAAAUAUAAUGCUAGAAAAGCUUGGCGUUUCAAAAGCUGAAUACCAUCUUCAUCUAUGCGAAGAUAACAAGGUCCGUGUCACUUUUAUGUUUAACAUGGCUACGCUACCAAUGGAAGGUGCUCCUGUAUAUCUCUCGAUGUCUGGAAUAGAGUCCGAAAGUUAUGAAAUAGCGGAAGAUUCUGCGUGUGUUCAAGCCAUAACAUAUGUUGAGGAAGCAACCAACACAAUCAUCAAGGAUUUAGGCUGCAGCCGGCUGGUAGAAGCUAAAGAGGAAAACAAGAUCCUGUUACAUAAGCUAAAAAAAGGCGCACGAAUACAAGAAACAACUUGCUAGGGGUUGGUUUCUUUCUGUGAGGCAUAUGGCUUCAUUCUCUAAACAAGUGCUCAAUAUUGCUUACCUUAACUAUUCUGGUGGACAAGAUUCUGUUGACACGGUUUGGAACAAUCUGCUAACCAACUUUGAAGACUUAGGCUUUAGACUUAGACAUGCAGGCGCUGUCCUCGAAAAACGCCUGGAGCAAAUGAGGAAGGACCACUUUUCUUAGAUAAUAAUGCAAGGUACACAAUUUUUUACUAUUACCAUUCAGAGUAUAUUGUUGCUACUGCUGCCAUCUGCUUUAUUUACCUCCUAAAUUACAUAUUAUUUUUAGUGUAUGCAUUAACCAAGAACACUAUAUUCAAGCUUCGGAUAUCUUAAUUCAGACCUUCUGUGAAGAUAGUUUCCUUUCAUUUGUUGCAUAUUUUCUAGAUCAAAUGAUCCUGCACCCCUUAUAUACACAUUACUCUGAUUGGUUGUAACUUGCAUACUUUCCUGAUUCCUUACUAUCAAUACCUUGCAUUUCUUCUUUUCCUUCUUUUCCUAUGCCUGCUUCUGUUCUUUUUGUAUAUCAAAGUGCUAAGAUAAUUUACGAGCUUCAGAUAUAAUAGGACAGUAGUACAGAUGGAUAUAUAUAUAUGUUAUUCUCCUUUUUAUGUGCUCAUGGUAAUCAUCGGCUCCUCCUUCUGUGUUCAAUUGUGGAUCUUCUCUCUGUUUUGAGACAUUCUCCAUGGAUUCUUUGUGUAUGGUUACAUAUACACGUUACUCUGAUUCUCUCUGUUUGGAGAGAUUCUCCAUGGAUUCUGUGUGUUCAAUUAAAACACUAUUAGUACCAGAUUGCAUAUUACCUGUGUUUAUGUACCUAUAUUACCGCCGUUAUUUGUUGUAUUGAAUUUCUAUUUUGACCACUGGUAAUCAAGAAGCAUAUAGAAUCCACUGGUAAUCAAGAAGCAUCUAAAUAGUGGUACUGGCUGGAGAAUGCCAUAACUCGGACCAUUAUCGCAAGAACUUGAGUUUCAAACUCUGAAUAUGCUUCAGAGUGCUCUGAAAAAAAGAUAUUAACCUGUUUGGUUCUAUGUUCUAACCAUUCUAUAUUGCUUACCAUCAACUCGGACCUAACGUUGAUUGUUCCGUGAAUUACUUUUCAGGAAAGUUGUCUAAUAGGUAACACGGGACACCGAUAGUUGUUCUCUUCCAGCAAUCUAGGUGCUGUAGAAUCUUAGCGUUCUACUCUUCUCUUUUGCUAUGUAUUGUACAUAUGAAUCAACCGUACGAUGCAAUGGUUGUCUUCUGCAUCUCUUCUAGGUAGUGGCUCGACCCUUUCGUGCCCUUCGUUCUGUACGACUGCUAUUGCUUCAUGCUGCUAUCUCCGUUCCUAUUUUUACUUCUUUGUACUUUCUACUAGCUGCCAUACUUGGUUUGGAGAAAAGACUUUGUACUGAAAUGGAUUAUCAUAUUGGCAGCUAUUUAGUGCACAGUCAUGGUCUCUGUGUAUUUGGUC